UACGAGGGAUGCAAGCGUUAUCCGGAAUUAUUGGGCGUAAAGCGUUUGUAGGCGGGCGAGUGUGUUUAAUGUUAAAUCUUAAAGCUCAACUUUGAAAUUGCGUUAAAAACUGCUUGUCUUGAGUAUGGUAGGGGUAAAGGGAAUUCCCAGUGUAGCGGUGAAAUGCGUAGAUAUUGGGAAGAACACUAAACAGCGAAGGCACUUUACUAGGCUAAUACUGACGCUGAGAAACGAAAGGUAAGGUAGCGAAACGGAUUAGAUACCCGUGUAGUCUUACCCGUAAACUAUGGACACUAAACGGUAAAUUUUUAAUUUACUGUUAAAGCUAACGCGUUAAGUGUCCCGCCUGGGGAGUAUGCUUGCAAAAGUGAAACUCAAAGGAAUUGACGGGGGCCCGCACAAGCGGUGGAGCAUGUGGUUUAAUUCGACGGUACACGAAGAACCUUACCAGGAUUUGACAUGCUAGAUAGUUGCUUGAAAGAGUAACGUGCCGUAAGGAAUCUAGACACAGGUGGUGCAUGGCUGUCGUCAGUUCGUGUUGUGAAAUGUUGGGUUAAGUCCCGCAACGAACGCAACCCUUGUCUUUAGUUAUUUUCUAAAGAGACUGCCUGUAAUAAACAGGAGGAAGGUAAGGAUGAGGUCAAGUCAUCAUGCCCCUUAUGUCCUGGGCUACACACGUGCUACAAUGGGAAAGACAAUGAGCUGCAAAUCUGUAAAUUUAAGCAAAUCUCUUAAACUUUCUCGUAGUUCGGAUUGUGGGCUGCAACUCGCCCACAUG
rnacentral:rRNA from 1 species